AGAGCGAACGCUGGCGGCAGGCCUAACACAUGCAAGUCGAGCGCCCCGCAAGGGGAGCGGCAGACGGGAGAGUAACACGUGGGAACGUACCCUUUGGUUCGGAACAACACAGGGAAACUUGUGCUAAUACCGGAUAAGCCCUUACGGGGAAAGAUUUAUUGCCAAAGGAUCGGCCCGCGUCUGAUUAGCUUGUUGGUGAGGUAACGGCUCACCAAGGCUACGAUCAGUAGCUGGUCUGAGAGGAUGAUCAGCCUCACUGGGACUGAGACACGGCCCAGACUCCUACGGGAGGCAGCAGUGGGGAAUAUUGGACAAUGGGCGCAAGCCUGAUCCAGCCAUGCCGCGUGGAUGAUGAAGGCCCUAGGGUUGUAAAGUCCUUUCGACGGGGUAAGAUAAUGACGGUACCCGUAGAAGAAGCCCCGGCUAACCUUCGUGCCAGCAGCCGC
rnacentral:rRNA from 1 species